rnacentral:misc_RNA from 1 species
GAUGAAGAACGUAGCGAAAUGCGAUAAGUAAUGUGAAUUGCAGAAUUCAGUGAAUCAUCGAAUCUUUGAACGCACAUUGCGCCCGCCAGUAUUCUGGCGGGCAUGCCUGUUCGAGCGUCAUUUCAACCAUCAAGCCCCCGGCUUGUGUUGGGGACCUGCGGCUGCCGCAGGCCCUGAAAACCAGUGGCGGGCUCGCUAGUCACUCCGAGCGUAGUAAUACAUCUCGCUCAGGGCGUGCUGCGGGUUCCGGCCGUUAAAAAGCCUUUUUUUACCCAAGGUUGACCUCGGAUCAGGUAGGAAGACCCGCUGAACUUAAGCAUAUCAAUAAGCGGAGGA